rnacentral:rRNA from 1 species
UACGUAUGGUGCAAGCGUUAUCCGGAUUUACUGGGUGUAAAGGGUGCGUAGGACAAGUCUGAAGUGAAAAUCCGGGGCUUAACCCCGGAACUGCUUUGGAAACUGCCUGACUAGAGUACAGGAGAGGUAAGUGGAAUUCCUAGUGUAGCGGUGAAAUGCGUAGAUAUUAGGAGGAACACCAGUGGCGAAGGCGACUUACUGGACUGCUACUGACACUGAGGCACGAAAGCGUGGGGAGCAAACAGG